rfam:Oryza rufipogon genomic scaffold, chr11
AACCACACUAUUAAUAAAUAGAUUCACCCGCGAGAUGACAUGCAUGGUUGUUUCAUUUAGAACAAGGAUAUGGCAUCCUAUUACCAACCAUCGCACGAAAUUAAUAGGAUGUCACGUCCUUAUCCUAGAUGGAACAACCACGCCAUCUCAAGGGUUAAUCCAUUCAUCGAUAGUGUGGUU